rnacentral:lncRNA from 1 species
UGAUUAAUACGUAUAUUUUGGUUUGCCUCAAAUUUGGAUGCUGGCUUAUGCUAUGUGGGUACUAAAGCAUGGGUUUCCCUUAAUAUCCCUUUCAAUGUGAAACUGGUUUGUUAUUCUUCUCAGCACUGUCAUUUGAUUAAUUCCUAUUUUAUUCUAUGAUCAGUUAGAGAGACACAAAAAGGAGAGUAGAGGGAAUUUAAUCAUCUCCAAUUUCUGUGGUAGGCUUGUUGAAAUUGUCCUUAUAUUUCAGCUGUGUACUAAACAUGUAAUUGUUCAAUUUAAAUUUGCAUGCCAACUGUUUUUGCACAUCUUUCUCACUUUGCCUUCAUAUGAGCUAGAAAUGCCUUUGCCCAAGGUAUAUGGUGUUUGCUAUUUUAAGACAUGUUAUGAGAUUAAAUUACUACAUUGUCCUUGGAAAGCAUUUUAAGACAUGUCCAUUGCCCAAGGUAUAUGGUGUUUGGUAUUUUCUGUUUCUGCCCA